AUUGAACGCUGGCGGCAGGCCUAACACAUGCAAGUCGAACGAGUGGCGGACGGGUGAGUAAUGUCUGGGAAACUGCCCGACGGAGGGGGAUAACUACUGGAAACGGUAGCAAAUACCGCAUACCAUCGGAUGUGCCCAGAGGGGAUUAGCUAGUAGGUGGGGUAACGGCUCACCUAGGCGACGAUCCCUAGCUGGUCUGAGAGGUGGACCAGCCACACUGGAACUGAGACACGGUCCAGACUCCUACGGGAGGCAGCAGUGGGGAAUAUUGCACAAUGGGCGAAAGCCUGAUGCAGCCAUGCCGCGUGGAUGAAGAAGGCCUUCGGGUUGUAAAGUACUUUCAGCGAGGAGGCGUUACUCGCAGAAGAAGCACCGGCUAACUCCGUGCCAGCAUCCGCGGUAAUUC
rnacentral:rRNA from 1 species